rnacentral:hammerhead_ribozyme from 1 species
GCACUGCUGAUGAGUCCCAUAAUAGGACGAAACGACCGUCCAGUGC